GGGGUUGUAGCUCAGUGGCAGAGCGCUUGCCUAGUGUGAGGCAUUGGGUUCAAUUCUCAGCACCCCA
rnacentral:tRNA from 1 species